rnacentral:rRNA from 2 species
GGUUUAUUCGAAGCACGCGCAGAACUUACCAGCCCUUGACAUACCGGUCGCGGACACAGAGAUGUGUCUUUCAGUUCGGCUGGACCGGAUACAGGUGCUGCAUGGCUGUCGUCAGCUCGUGUCGUGAGAUGUUGGGUUAAGUCCCGCAACGAGCGCAACCCUCGCCCUUAGUUGCCAGCAUUUAGUUGGGCACUCUAAGGGGACUGCCGGUGAUAAGCCGAGAGGAAGGUGGGGAUGACGUCAAGUCCUCAUGGCCCUUACGGGCUGGGCUACACACGUGCUACAAUGGUGGUGACAGUGGGCAGCGAGCACGCGAGUGUGAGCUAAUCUCCAAAAGCCAUCUCAGUUCGGAUUGCACUCUGCAACUCGAGUGCAUGAAGUUGGAAUCGCUAGUAAUCGCGGAUC